UUUGAGGAAGCACUUUAGAGAACCCCCAUCUUCUGCCUGGGUCCUGCUGCCUUGUUCUGUAGCAAGUUCCUUCCAACCUGAGGAUGUCAGCCUUGGGUGGAUCAUCACUUUGCAGGGUUGUUAACAGAAACCUUCUUUGUUCAUCGAGGGGACAGGUCAAGUGAGCUGGCUGAGCCACAGUAUCCUGUAACUCCUAAUGCUCAGAGAGGUUCGGGAACCACUGGAUUGGACAACUGCCCUGGCUUGUGACAUCAAGAUUAGGUGAUUUCACUGCAUUUGGUUCUGCACCUUUUUGUGAGAAUUUUAUGUACUGAGACCUCAAAAUCAAGUUACAACCUGCAGACUUGGCCACUUCAACCUCGUCUUAUCUGUUUUCAUUCAUAAAUUUGCGGGAAAAGAAAGAAAGGGCAGGAAAGCAAGACCUAAAUAAAGUCACAGUGGCAGAAUCCUGUGUCCCGAGAGCAUGCUUGACUUCCAUCUUCAAAUGCAAGGGAAAACAAACAAGCUUUAGCUGCUUCACAGAGCCUCAAAUAGCUC